rnacentral:misc_RNA from 1 species
AAAAAAAAUUUACAUGUAAAUCAGACUUCAUAUGAGUUGUGGCGAGGCUUCGAUGUUUUGUCCUUUCCAGCUUCGUUGUGAAGUUAGUGGCCGUGGUCUGUGCCCACAACCUUCGGCUGCUGGUAUGCGUCUGCUGGCAGAGAUCUCCAGAAGCUAUUAGAUUUCUAGUGGGCGGGGUUGACGGACUGUUUGUUUAAACCUGGGCCUCAUCAAAGCCCACCUCUUCUGACCUAUAUUUCGGUUAAAA